AGUCGAACGGAAAGGUCUCUUCGGAGAUACUCGAGUGGCGAACGGGUGAGUAACACGUGGGUGAUCUGCCCUGCACUUCGGGAUAAGCCUGGGAAACUGGGUCUAAUACCGGAUAGGACCACGGGAUGCAUGUCUUGUGGUGGAAAGCGCUUUAGCGGUGUGGGAUGAGCCCGCGGCCUAUCAGCUUGUUGGUGGGGUGACGGCCUACCAAGGCGACGACGGGUAGCCGGCCUGAGAGGGUGUCCGGCCACACUGGGACUGAGAUACGGCCCAGACUCCUACGGGAGGCAGCAGUGGGGAAUAUUGCACAAUGGGCGCAAGCCUGAUGCAGCGACGCCGCGUGGGGGAUGACGGCCUUCGGGUUGUAAACCUCUUUCACCAUCGACGAAGGUCCGGGUUCUCUCGGAUUGACGGUAGGUGGAGAAGAAGCACCGGCCAACUACGUGCCAGCAGCCGCGGUAAUACGUAGGGUGCGAGCGUUGUCCGGAAUUACUGGGCGUAAAGAGCUCGUAGGUGGUUUGUCGCGUUGUUCGUGAAAUCUCACGGCUUAACUGUGAGCGUGCGGGCGAUACGGGCAGACUAGAGUACUGCAGGGGAGACUGGAAUUCCUGGUGUAGCGGUGGAAUGCGCAGAUAUCAGGAGGAACACCGGUGGCGAAGGCGGGUCUCUGGGCAGUAACUGACGCUGAGGAGCGAAAGCGUGGGGAGCGAACAGGAUUAGAUACCCUGGUAGUCCACGCCGUAAACGGUGGGUACUAGGUGUGGGUUUCCUUCCUUGGGAUCCGUGCCGUAGCUAACGCAUUAAGUACCCCGCCUGGGGAGUACGGCCGCAAGGCUAAAACUCAAAGGAAUUGACGGGGGCCCGCACAAGCGGCGGAGCAUGUGGAUUAAUUCGAUGCAACGCGAAGAACCUUACCUGGGUUGACAUGCACAGGACGGUU
rnacentral:rRNA from 1 species